CUCAUUCUGCUAGGUAGAAAACGUUCUUAGAUCUUGAGAAUUAAAGUCUGCUCAAGCUUAUACAUGUGGAUCCACACUUCAUGUAAAAACACAUCUGUCCUAUGUCCUAGUGGCAUUGGAAACGUCUAUUUCCCUUAGUUUAGAGCACAUAUUGCUUUUUUUCCCCCCUACAAGGCUAAAAGACUUCCUUUAGUUGUGAGCCCCCUCCUCUCCUCUCCAGGGCUCAUUCUACUGAGCUUCCCCAGAAAAUCAUUUUGACUAACUCUUUGGAACUCCAUUCAUACAGCUACACCAAUCUCCUUUCUUUUCUCCUUUUUUGUGUCCUACACGGCAAUACUUAUGUACAUACUUUUAUCCCACCACAUGAAGUUGCGUAGCUGAUUCCAGCUCUCAGUACCUCGUAUUCAUUCCCCACACAGUCUGGCUCUCUUCUUGGUUUCUUCUUGGAGCAGAUACUUCUUGAGAUAGGGAUGAUUUCUGGAGCUUUGGUUGGAAUCCCCCAGGGCCCAGUCGAGAGCAGUUCUCUGUGCAGAAUGAGCAUUCAACAAUCAUUAACUGACUGAAGGUGAUGAAGCUAGUGAUAUGCGGCAUGACAUAUGACAUUCUCUCGAGAAGCUGCACAGUGGCAGCGACCCGCAGCUGCCAGUCGGCCACAGGAUCACGAGGGUGAACAACGGAUGCUGUACAGUUCAUUGUGCUGCCAGAUUGAGUUUCUCUGCUUCCCUGGCCCACGUGGAGGAAUCGUCAGCCCCUUUGCAUGUGGAGUUUACAGGUGAUGGCACCUGUCAAAUUUCAGAAAAACUGGAAUCUUUAUGCAUUAGGCAGAUAACCCAACAGACAUCCCCUGGAGAUUACCCUCAAAUUUCCCUCAUUUAUGCUUUAGAUUUUCCUAUUUAUAAGUCACUAUUUUAUGCUAGAAA